rnacentral:rRNA from 1 species
AUUGAACGCUGGCGGCAGGCCUAACACAUGCAAGUCGAACGGCAGCACAGAAGAGCUUGCUCUUUGGGUGGCGAGUGGCGGACGGGUGAGUAAUGUCUGGGAAACUGCCCGAUGGAGGGGGAUAACUACUGGAAACGGUAGCUAAUACCGCAUAACGUCGCGAGACCAAAGUGGGGGACCUUCGGGCCUCACACCAUCGGAUGUGCCCAGAUGGGAUUAGCUAGUAGGUGGGGUAAUGGCUCACCUAGGCGACGAUCCCUAGCUGGGCUGAGAGGAUGACCAGCCACACUGGAACUGAGACACGGUCCAGACUCCUACGGGAGGCAGCAGUGGGGAAUAUUGCACAAUGGGCGCAAGCCUGAUGCAGCCAUGCCGCGUGUAUGAAGAAGGCCUUCGGGUUGUAAAGUACUUUCAGCGGGGAGGAAGGCGGUGAGGUUAAUAACCUCGCCGAUUGGCGUUACCCGCAGAAGAAGCACCGGCUAACUCCGUGCCAGCCGCCGCCGUAA